rnacentral:rRNA from 1 species
AUUGAACGCUGGCGGCAUGCCUUACACAUGCAAGUCGAACGGAUCCUUCGGGAUUAGUGGCGGACGGGUGAGUAACACGUGGGAACGUGCCCUUUGGUUCGGAACAACUCAGGGAAACUUGAGCUAAUACCGGAUGUGCCCUUCGGGGGAAAGAUUUAUCGCCAUUGGAGCGGCCCGCGUCUGAUUAGCUAGUUGGUGAGGUAAAGGCUCACCAAGGCGACGAUCAGUAGCUGGUCUGAGAGGAUGAUCAGCCACAUUGGGACUGAGACACGGCCCAAACUCCUACGGGAGGCAGCAGUGGGGAAUCUUGCGCAAUGGGCGAAAGCCUGACGCAGCCAUGCCGCGUGAAUGAUGAAGGUCUUAGGAUUGUAAAAUUCUUUCACCGGGGACGAUAAGGACGGUACCCGGAGAAGAAGCCCCGGCUAACUUCGUGCCAGCAGCCGCCGUAAAAC